rnacentral:tRNA from 1 species
UUCGCGAUAGAUCAGUUGGUUAGGAAGCCUAACACGCUUAAGGUCGCGGGUUCAAGCCCCGCUCGCUGUAA